rnacentral:rRNA from 1 species
UACGUAGGGUCCGAGCGUUGUCCGGAGUUACUGGGCGUAAAGCGCGCGCAGGCGGCGGUGUUGGCCCGGCGUGAAAGCCCCCGGCUCAACCGGGGAGAGUCGUCGGGGACCGCACCGCUUGAGGGCGGUAGGGGCUGGUGGAAUGCCUGGUGUAGUGGUGAAAUGCGUAGAGAUCAGGCAGAACACCUGGGGCGAAGGCG